CAGGAAAUAGUUUAUAAAAAUAUUAAUUUUGGAGAUUAAAGAUGGGAAAUUUCUCUUUCCUGA
rnacentral:tRNA from 1 species